rnacentral:rRNA from 1 species
CAGCAGUGGGGGAAUAUUGCACAAUGGGCGCAAGCCUGAUGCAGCCAUGCCGCGUGUAUGAAGAAGGCCUUCGGGUUGUAAAGUACUUUCAGCAGUGAGGAAGGUGGGGUAUGUUAAUAGCAUAUUCAUUUGACGUUAGCUGCAGAAGAAGCACCGGCUAACUCCGUGCCAGCAGCCGCGGUAAUACGGAGGGUGCGAGCGUUAAUCGGAAUUACUGGGCGUAAAGCGCAUGCAGGUGGUUUGUUAAGUCAGAUGUGAAAGCCCGGGGCUCAACCUCGGAAUUGCAUUUGAAACUGGCAAACUAGAGUACUGUAGAGGGGGUAGAAUUUCAGGUGUAGCGGUGAAAUGCGUAGAGAUCUGAAGGAAUACCGGUGGCGAAGGCCGGCCCCCUGGACAGAUACUGACACUCAGAUGACGAAAGCGGUGGGGAGACAAACAGGAUUAGAUACCCUGGUAG